UACGUAGGGCGCAAGCGUUGUCCGGAAUUAUUGGGCGUAAAGAGCUCGUAGGCGGUUUGUCGCGUCUGCUGUGAAAACUCGGGGCUUAACCCCGGGCCUGCAGUGGGUACGGGCAGACUAGAGUGCGGUAGGGGAGACUGGAAUUCCUGGUGUAGCGGUGAAAUGCGCAGAUAUCAGGAGGAACACCGGUGGCGAAGGCGGGUCUCUGGGCCGUAACUGACGCUGAGGAGCGAAAGCGUGGGGGAGCGAACAGG
rnacentral:rRNA from 1 species